GGGUGGAAAAGAAGGAGAGGUUGCAUUGAAUUAUAUCUGUUGGGAAGAAUACAGAGUGAUAUAGUGCUUGAUGGGCUUUGGAGGUAUUUCAAUGGGAAAUAGAUGGCUAUAGAAAAAUAUAGAGAAUGAAGGUUUUCCAGGAAGAGGCGACUUAAUGGGCCAUGGCUCAUUGGUGGGAAUGUGAUUUCAAUACAUAAGGCCAUUUUGUCUCUGGUGACACAAUCCUGCAGGGGAGCUGAAGAAAUCUAAGAUGAGACCUUAGGAAAUAAACCGUCUUAAGAGGCAAGCCAAGAGGUUGAGACUUGAUUUAGAAAGCCAUGGAAAGCCACUAAAAGUUUUAAACAGAGUGAUGAAACCAGUGCCUGUGCAUUUUUUAGGUUGAAAGUUUUGAGAUGUCAGUUUCUCCUGGAAGUCAUCAGGAGCGCAUGUGCAAAGCUAGACGUUUUUCUUAGCAGCAUGGAGUUCUCAAGGGUGCACUUUCCAAGUCUAAAAUAGCAUAGGAAGCACCUAUCUUCCUCAGAUACGUGUCAUGGAUCAUACUUGUUAUAGAAGUUUAGUUGUAAGGACUGGUGUGUGGAUUAGGUGUUGGGGCAAUGACUGGUUCUGGAAACUGCUCUUAUGAAAGAACAGUGACUAUGGUCCCCAAGGGAAGAACCACGUGGAGGAUUGGGAAAGAAGAAAGGAAGACAGGAAGGGGAGCCAGCAAAUGCGGGCACCAGAGCAAUGUUGUAUUAGAUUCAUUCAGAGUAGAAGAAGCUGAGAGCUUUCCAUAAGUGAAGGCCUUGCAGGCAAAAGGAGCGCACAAGUAGAUCUGGGAAGAGGCUUCCAGCAAUCCCUGUGGAUUUGGAAGUCAGGCCCACAGAGGUACUUGUGAAGUACGGAGCGUGACUGAGUCUUCCAAAGGAGGAAGCAUAGGUCGGGAAGGCCAUCUGGCCUAAAAGACUCUUAGAAGGCUACAGCCAUAUUUAUCGGUGCUAGAAGGAACACCGUAAGUAGAUACUCUUGGUAUAGGAGAUCUAGGUUACUCCAGAACUAGGAAAAUGUCAAGCAAGAGAGCGAAACUCUGAGAAAGAAAGGAUGAGGCAUUUAUGAGGUUGGAGAUGAAGGGUACCGGAGAUGAUGACUCCUCAGUAAAAGCACUCACUUGAUAAGGGCAAGAACUUUGCUUAUUUGUCUUUAUCCCCCGGGCCUGUCAUGAGUCCUGGCUCAGGCUGGGCAAUCAGUUGGCUGCUAUGUGUUACUUUGGAUGCCAUGGGAAAUGCAGGGUCGGCAGGACUUCUAGGCUACCGACAUCUUCCUGGAGAAGGAUUCAAAAGAGGUGCUGGGCCUCUUCUUUCCUCUACCUGUUCAUGUCACCCCAUUAGUCUUCCCCUACCCACCCCCCAAACAAUGCACACACUGGAAGCUUCAGUUUCAGCAUUCUUAAAACAAAUAUGACAAUCACUUUGCUUUGGUGGCUUUUCUGGACAGGCAGCAGGAGGAGAGAGGCUUUUUUUUGGCCCAUUGAAAACAGACUCUAAUUUCUAGGUAAAUUUUAAGUUUAAAAAGGUUUCCUUUGGCCUGUUUAUCCCCUUCUAUCCAACAGAAGGACAUCUGUGCUUCUUCUCCUCCACCCAGCUAUUCAGUAGAACAGGGACAAACGUGACACCAAAGCUCUCCAGUGGGCCUGCCUUAGGAAGCAUUACCGGGCUGGCUGUUCAGAAUCGUAGAUGGGAAAGUACACACGGCACUGACACACGCCUGCCAGAGCAAAGCAGAGCUUUCCUCACACGGGAUUCAGGGUCAAAGUGAGAGGCAGCCAGCAGAGAAGGGAUCCCUGCCAACAAGGUUGACAGAGCCCCACUUCCACGCUAAACCAAAGCCCUGCUGCCCCAGAGCGGCGUGUUCCCUUUCCCUUCCUUCCGCUAAGUACGGCUUGAGACACAUUUGACCAGAACUGCAACAUUUCAGACAUAAACCAAACUCGGCCUGGAACUCCUAAUUAAAAAUGUUCCAUUCCCAGGUGGCACAAUCGCAUCCUGCCUAAGACUUCUGGCCCACAUCCCACCACCCAGAUGCUGAAAAGAAACCUUUCCCCACUUUUACACCCAGACCUGCACUCGGUGUUUCUUCAGGGGACAAAGAAAAAAAAAAGUACACUUACACAGAGGUCAGCCUACAUGUUCAUGAAGGAAAAAGAGCGUGGCUUAUUCAUCCGUCUUUCAAACUUUUGAUUGUCGGCAUUCUGAUUAUGAUUAAUUACUCUGACUGACCAGGAUGGGAGGGGAGGAUAAAUGCUGGUGCUCUGAAAUGAUCUACCCAACUCCGUCAUCUGUAACAACCAGUGAUAAUUCUCUUGUCUUGUAAAAAGGGUUUGUACAUAACUUGUACAUGGUUUCAUUUUGUAUUUUUCGCAGAUUAAAAAUUUAUGUAUUUGUGU
rnacentral:lncRNA from 1 species